rnacentral:rRNA from 1 species
ACUGCUCAGUAACACGUGGAUAACCUACCCUCAGAUCUGGGAUAACUCCGGGAAACUGGAGAUAAUACCGGAUAAUCCGUGAACGCUGGAAUGCCUUACGGUUCAAAGCUUUAGCGUCUGAGGAUGGGUCUGCGGCCGAUUAGGUAGUUGCUGGGGUAACGUCCCAACAAGCCGAUAAUCGGUACGGGUUGUGAGAGCAAGAGCCCGGAGAUGGAUUCUGAGACACGAAUCCAGGUCCUACGGGGCGCAGCAGGCGCGAAAACUUUACACUGCGCGAAAGCGCGAUAAGGGGACCUCGAGUGCGUGCGCAAUGCGUACGCUUUUCAUAUGCCUAAAAAGCAUGUGGAAUAAGAGCCGGGCAAGACCGGUGCCAGCCGCCGCGGUAACACCGGCGGCUCAAGUGGUGGCCGCUAUUAUUGGGCUUAAAGGGUCCGUAGCCGGACCAGUUAGUCCCUUGGGAAAUCUUACGGCUUAACCGUAAGGCUGCCAAUGGAUACUGCUGGUCUUGGGACCGGGAGAGGCAAGAGGUACUUCAGGGGUAGGAGUGAAAUCCUGUAAUCCUUGAGGGACCGCCAGUGGCGAAGGCGUCUUGCUAGAACGGGUCCGACGGUGAGGGACGAAAGCUAGGGGCACGAGCCGGAUUAGAUACCCGGGUAGUCCUAGCCGUAAACGAUGCGACCUAGGUGUCACGUGGAUUGCGAAUCCAUGUGGUGCCGUAGGGAAACCGUGAAGCUCGCCGCCUGGGAAGUACGGCCGCAAG